rnacentral:rRNA from 1 species
UAGCCGUAAACGAUACUCGCUAGGUGUCGGCCACGGUGCGACCGUUGUCGGUGCCGUAGGGAAGCCGUGAAGCGAGCCACCUGGGAAGUACGGCCGCAAGGCUGAAACUUAAAGGAAUUGGCGGGGGAGCACAACAACGGGUGGAGCUUGCGGUUUAAUUGGGUUCAACGCCGGAAAUCUUACCGGGACCGACAGCAACAUGAAGGCCAAGCUGAAGACUUUGCCGGAUUAGCUGAGAGGUGGUGCAUGGCGUAGUCGUGU